AACGAACGCUGGCGGCAUGCUUAUCACAUGCAAGUCGAACGGGCGCCUUCGGGCGUUAGUGGCGCACGGGUGAGUAACGCGUGGGAACCUGUCAUGAAGUGGGGAACAACCACUGGAAACGGUGGCUAAUACCGCAUACGCCCUGAGGGGCAAAGGCUUCGGCCGCUUUGUGAGGGGCCCGCGUCCGAUUAGCUAGUUGGUGGGUAACGGCCUACCAAGGCUACGAUCGGUAGCUGGUCUGAGAGGAUGAUCAGCCACACUGGGACUGAGACACGGCCCAGACUCCUACGGGAGGCAGCAGUGGGGAAUAUUGGACAAUGGGCGAAAGCCUGAUCCAGCAAUGCCGCGUGAGUGAAGAAGGCCUUAGGGUUGUAAAGCUCUUUCGCCUGCGACGAUGAUGACGGUAGCAGGAGAAGAAGCCCCCGGCUAAAUUCCGUGCCAGCAGCCGCGGUAAU
rnacentral:rRNA from 1 species